CCUAGUGGUGAUAGCGGAGGGGAAACGCCCGUUCCCAUCCCGAACACGGAAGUUAAGCCCUCCAGCGCCGAUGGUAGUUGGGGCCAGCGCCCCUGCAAGAGUAGGUCGCUGCUAGGC
rnacentral:rRNA from 1 species